UACGGAGGAUGCGAGCGUUGUCCGGAUUUAUUGGGUUUAAAGGGUGCGUAGGCGGACUGUCAAGUCAGCGGUAAAAUUGAGAGGCUCAACCUCUUCCCGCCGUUGAAACUGGUGGUCUUGAGUGGAUGAGAAGUACGCGGAAUGCGUGGUGUAGCGGUGAAAUGCACAGAUAUCACGCAGAACUCCGAUUGCGAAGGCAGCGUACCGGCAUCCAACUGACGCUGAGGCACGAAAGCGUGGGGAUCAAACAGG
rnacentral:rRNA from 1 species